rnacentral:rRNA from 1 species
UACGGGGGGUGCGAGCGUUGUCCGGAAUCACUGGGCGUAAAGGGCGCGUAGGUGGUUUGAUAAGGGUGUGGUGAAAGUCCGGGGCUCAACUCCGGAUCUGCGGUGGGUACGGGCAGACUAGAGUGAUGUAGGGGAGACUAGAAUUCCUGGUGUAGCGGUGAAAUGCGCAGAUAUCGGGAGGAACACCAGUGGCGAAGGCGGCGACCUGGACGGACACUGACGCUGAGACGCGAAAGCGUGGGGAGCAAACAGG